UGAGAAUGUGACAAGAAAGACAGCUGAUUUCUGCAGGUACUCCUGGCCUCACAGCUGAACGAAAGCGGGUGGCCCAGACAUUGCAGGAUGUUGGUAAACUGUUGAUGCAGACCAUCCUGUAGGGAUUCCUGCAGGCCUACAGUGGGUGGCUGUCUCAGUGUCCACCUUCACAGACUCCCAGUGAGUCCAUAACUUCAGAAUGUCCAGAAACAUUCACCUUUCGCCACAUGUAGGGAACACAUGUGCUGAAUGCACUGAUGAAACAUUUGUUAAUUUAAAAGAAAAUGUGACUGGUGUUCUUACAGAGUUGAAGUGCAUUAACAAUCUGUUAUUUUUAGCUACUCAAUAUGUUUAAUUAUGAUUCAUCUGAUCUUCAGGUUAUUGUGAAAAUGAAUAAAGCUGCAUUCCUUCCAAUCUA